rnacentral:lncRNA from 1 species
AACAUUUUACCAAACAAAUUUUAAUCAAUGAAUUUAAAUUUUAUAAAAUGAAGAAUUUACUUUAGGAUAAUCAUAAUCCUAUUAGAUAGUGUUGCUACACUUUACACAACAGAAGCUGUAAUAAAUUGUUUAUAUUUAAAUGUAACGUUGGUCAAUAAAUGUUGGGAUGAUAUAAAUUUACAGUUAUCUAGCCUUAAAUGGAUUUUCGAUAUUAUUAUACUUGCAUAGAAAGAGAAUUAAAUUACUGUGAUAUUGACACACAUGUCAAGUUAAUGACUUGGUCUAUUAAGGAGGGUGGAAGUUUAUUAUUCUUAUGUAGCAUUAGGGUAUACUAUUAGAGUCAGGAUGGCAAUAAUGGGCUACACUGAUAUGCCUGAGUGAAUCAUUAUUUAUUGAAAAGUAAACAAACUUGAUUACAUUUAGUAAUUACAGGAUGUUAUUUACUGUUGCAAAUGGCUAAGCUAAGGAGACUUCUGGCUUUUAUAUUAGAGCUGAGGGAUAUCGUGACUUAACCAACGCCAACACCACCAGAACUGACUAACAGUGUAAUGAUCAAGGACUCUAAUUCAAGACUGAGAUUUUGGUAAUAACUUGACCAAGAGCAAGAACAAGCACAGAGUCAAGACAAAGACUGACUAGCACAAAGCAACUCAAGAUGAUAGAUAAUUAAGAGUUUUUACUAUCUUUUGGUUAUAUACUAGGAUGGCUCUUUCCCUCUCCAGAGAAGGUGGAGCCUCUCCUCUGUCGUACCCCGGGUACAGUAGUUCUGGGGUUCCCAUUGGAUAGAGGGCUCAGCCUGUAAAGAGGCCUCCUCUACCCAUUAUUCAAUUUUUCUGGUAAUAAUUUGGUUCACCGUAUGUAACUAAUCAGGGCAGAAAUGUUUUCUUACAAGAGUAUUGUCUUUUUAUUAGACAACGGUUUAUUAGUGGCAAGAUAAUAUUCCAGAUGAUAGAUUUUGUCAGAUUCUUUAAGUGCAUAAUAUUCUCUGAAUAUGUAAUGUUUUUUUAUGUAAGAGCUCAAACACCUGUGAACCCCAAAUAAAUUCUUUUAGGCCUACUUUCAUCUACAUGCUAGACAGCUAUAGGGUCUGAGAAAGAAUACUAUUUAUUACUGAUGCUAGCCAAACAUAUGCUGAUCUCUGUCUGCCUUCUCAGACUGACUUAGAAUUCAAAGUACAAUACUCGCCCCUUCUUAAAGGUGAGAACACAUGGUGUUCAAUCAUAUAGGUAAGAAAGUACCUACAGUUUGUUUAUGUUGUCAGUUAGGAUAGUGUGGAAUCACUAUCCUGUAGUUAGAGCUCGUUAUAACUUGCUCACUCAAUAACAAUUCUUAAACAUUUGGUUCUCACACAUCCAUUUUAUGAAUCUAAUAAUAUUCUUUAGCAACUUAUUUCUUUUCAUAAUAAAUAGGACCUGUCACAUCUCUCGGAUUUGAUAUACUUGUUAUUAGUAAGUUAUGCUAUAACACCUCAUAAUUACACUUCAUACUCAGAUGUGCAUUGAUUGUAUAUGUAAGAAUAAAAGCAUCUCAUGAAUAAAUCUGCAUAAUAAUUCACACUUUUUAACUAAUGAUAAAAAUUACAUUAAUCCCCUUAUGAACACUAAUUUUUAUACUGCAAGUGUGCAACUGGUGUGUAGUUUAGUUACAAAUUGCAACUUCCAUAAUAAUAUCCCUUAAUAAAAUUCAAUUUCUCCUUAUUUUUGUAAUUUAUUUAUUAGAUUUGAUUUUUUUAUGUACUAUUAUUUAUUCACAUAACCGAGUUAUUUGACCACUAAGCCUAAUUAAAUUUAUUAAUCCAAUAAUAAAUGGUUUUCCACGUAUGUUUUGUGUGUUACGUGUCUUUUAACUCAACUUUGCAAUACAGGAGUGUGUUUAUCGCCUCCUUAUCCAUUUCCGUUUGAUAUGCCUGUGGUUUUGCCUCUUUGUUGCAAAUUGUUCUAUUACUAUGUCAUUAUGUGUGGUUUGUAAUAGUGUUCAUUAGUCAAUUUACGCUUUGGCAGAGAAUAAUACCAUCUAACUGUCUUUGGUACCAGGUACAAGUCAAUGGUACCUCUGUGAUAGUGUAACCAUCCCUACGUACACAGAAGUGACCUUAUAGAAUGAACCAUCAGACAGAGGACUUCUGUCAUCAUUCGUCACUAAGAUGGCAAAGCUAAGGAGACUAUUGGAUAUAUAAUAGAGCUGAGGGAUAACGUGACUUACUCAACGCCAACACCACUAGAUCUAACAGUGUGAUCAAAAACUCUACUUCAAGACUACGAGACUUGGGCGAUAACUUGACCAAGCGCAAGAGCAAGCACAGAGCAAAGACCUAGACUAAACUGACUAGCACAAGGCAACUCAAGAGGACAAUAAGAGCUUUUUUUACCAUAAUUUUAUCAAAUACUAGAGUGGUGCCUUCCCUUUCCAGAGGAGGCGGAGCCUCCCCUACCGUCGUACACUUCAGGUAGUUUUGGGUCUCUCAUUGGAUAGAGUGCUCAGCCCGCGAGAGACCUCCUUCACCAUUAUUCUGGUUUUCUGAUAACAACUCAGGACGGAAUUGGUUUUCCACAAGAGUAUUGGUUUUUAUUAGAUAGCGAUUUAUUAGUGGCAAGCCGAUAUCCCGGAUGAUGGUUUUUUUGUCAGAUCAUAAGAUAAUAGAUAUAGAUAUCUGCAUUCAUAAACAUGUGUUACGUUUGAGGAAGGAUACAUUUUAUUACCGAUGUACAGAAUUCAAAGUAAUAUAUAACAGUAUGUCGAAUUUUUAAGACAUUUGUUUAUUUCAUUUAGAGAAAAAAACGAAAGAAAGUUUUGGAUAAUUAUUUAAUGGAGUUAGUAAAAGAAAGACAUCAUUCCAGAAAGGAAAGAGAUUCUAAAAUUAAAAGAUACGGAAGUUACAUGAUAAUUUUAGGAAUCGAGUAAAUACCACUGAAAUAAAUGAAAAGUCAGUACUAUAAAUAAAUAUUUAAAAAUCAAUAGAACACUAGAAAAGUUUGGAAAUAUGUUAAAUAUUAAUUAGUAGGAAGGAAAAAGAAGAGAACAAGAUUAAGUGCGUAAAUCUGUAAUGGUAUUGCUACCAUUUGGUAACUUUUAACUAAACAAUAUUUUGUCAAGUCACUUUAAUAACCUUUUAUUUUUAUCUUCUAAACAUAAAAGAUAUAGGAAAGUACAUACUAGUUUUACAAUUUGAGUAAAUACUCAUAAAAAAGCCUAAUAUUCAGUACUACAAAGAAAAUGCUAAACAGUUACUAGAGAGGAAAAAAGUAGAAUAUAAGAUUAUGAAGGGAUUAAAUUUGCAAUAGCAGUGCUGCCAUUUGGUCACUUUUUCUAAGAGAUUCUUUUUGCUGUCAUCGUUUAGUCACUUUUAUUGCCUCGAAUAAUAAAAAGAAAACUUUUGGAAGUUAAUUGAAUCUUAGAGAUUUUUUAUAAUUAAUUUGUUGAAAUUCACUUAAAAGUCACUUUAAACUCUGUAUUUCUCUGUUCUGGUAUUUUUAUUGCAUUUUGUGUGUAAGAAGUAUUUUGUACUGGUCUCGAAUAUUUAGUUAGAUGAGCAGUUUAUAAUAUAUUUUUGUGUUUUUAAUAUUCGUGGUUAUAGAUAUCCUCUUAGUGGUUAUAGAUAUUCACUAAGAGUGAUCUUGUGAAACAAAUUAACUGGACAAAUCUGCAACGAAAUACACUACUCUAAUCGGUAUUUUACACAUUUUAUUACCAAAUUUAUAACGUUUUUGUGUGAUUUGUUGUGAACUUCAUUACAAUAAAUGCCCAAUAAAGUGAAAUGAAGACUCUCUAGUGAGUGCCCAAUAAAGUGCUCUAGUGUGUGACUUGACAACGUGUUCGGUAGUGUGCAAAACCAGCGAUGAAUUAACAAACAAUGGAUUAAUUCAUGGUCCAAUUCAGCACAAGUUAUACACAAUUCAAUCAUAGUUGAUAAUGCAGUUUCUUCCAGUUGACAGAUCAAAGCAGGGAUGUUAGAAGUUUGAUGGUGGUAGCUUGCAGAUGUUUACUACUUGUCACUAACUUGUCGAGUGCGCAGAUUACAUUCACCACAUCUGUAUAAUGCCAUUAACAACUUGACGCCUGUCAAUUUAUCAAUAACUAUCCUCUAUCAGUCUAUCUUUGUAUAAACGUCCAAAGUUAUAAUUGAACUAGAUUACAUAUUGAGUGAUGUCAAUCCAGCAAUCUGUUGAUAACACAUUAUUGUAUAAACCUUUCAGGCUCAGUAAAGAUAUUCGCUGGGCAGAACCGAGUUUCAGCGUUUUAAAUUAAUAAUAAGGCUGUAAUAAUAUAGUAAUAAGUAAAGAUUUGUACAUGCCAUGUUCAAUGCUUAUAAAAUAAGUGAAAGAGUGAAAAUAUUUUAAAUUUAAUUGUAAUUCUAUGUUUAUGUGACUUGGACCAAACAGUUAACUAUUACUGUAUUCUGACUUCCCUAUCUUGCAGAGAUGAAAGAAGGGUGCAAAAAUUAUGUUUUACACCAAUUUGACUAAACCAUACGCUGAUUGUAUUUUCUAAUAACUUUGUCAAAAAUUAAUCGUUAAACCAGAUGCGGUAUAUCAGAUAAUUAAGAGCAAUUUCUCAAUUUUAACUCUUUGAAAAAAAAAGAAAUGAUGAACAAAAAGUAUUAUAAAACCUGA